rnacentral:misc_RNA from 1 species
GAUGAAGAACGUAGCGAAAUGCGAUAAGUAAUGUGAAUUGCAGAGUUCAGUGAAUCAUCGAAUCUUUGAACGCACAUUGCGCCCGUCAGUAUUCUGACGGGCAUGCCUGUCCGAGCGUCAUUUCAACCCUCAAGCACUGCUUGGCGUUGGCGGAUUGCGUGCCCUCGCGGCGCUGCAACCGCCCAAAUACAGUGGCGGUCCCGCUGCGGCUCCCUUUGCGUAGUAACUCACCUCGCAUUGGACCGGGCGGCGGCCUGCCGUAAAACCCCAACUCACGAAAUGUUGACCUCGGAUCAGGUAGGAAUACCCGCUGAACUUAAGCAUAUCAAUAAGCGGAGGA